UGCUAAUACCGGAUAAGAAAGCGGAUCGCAUGAUCAGCUUUUAAAAGGCGGCGUAAGCUGUCGCUAUGGGAUGGCCCCGCGGUGCAUUAGCUAGUUGGUAAGGUAAAGGCUUACCAAGGCGAUGAUGCAUAGCCGAGUUGAGAGACUGAUCGGCCACAUUGGGACUGAGACACGGCCCAAACUCCUACGGGAGGCAGCAGGG
rnacentral:rRNA from 1 species